ACUAACGCCGUUAAGAAUUGAAACCCCAAAAAAAUGCUGGUUACCAUGGUAGAAACAGAGAUGGGUAAAUAUUCAAUUUUUUUAAUUAAACUAGGGUGAAAUCGAAAUCUGGGAGUAGGAAACUGGAAAAUCGGGCAUGGAGGUCACGCCAAAGAAGUCAUGGCUCAACCAUAGCCUCCGCUUAUAUAACCACGGAUUCUGCUCUCCAGCCAAAGCCGCCACCAGACCCGUCUUCUUUGGCGCGCAGGAGGUCGGACUCAUGGCCUCUGUUUUCCUCCUCUGCGUCCUCUUUUUGGUCUCCUCCAGGCUCAGCUUUCUCAUGAUUCAAGAAUAAUUGGUUUUAUAGAGGUGAUUCGGUAAUUGGGUUUGGUAUUGAAGCAGAGGGUAAUAGGAUCUAGUCUGGCGGAUUGAUACAGCAUGUGAUGGAGAAGAGGUUUCAGAUCGGCCUGAGUGUCCCUUUUUUUUUUUUUAAUUACUAGUUUAUCGCUUUAGAGGAUGAAGCCGCUGCUCCAGAGCUCCCCCAAUUCUCCGUCGUCGCCUAGAGUAAAAGCAGAGAAGCUUGAAAACCAUGGCUUACGCAGCGAUGAAACCCACCAAGCCUGGUCUCGAGGAGACACAGGAGCAGAUCCAGAAGAUCAGGAUCACUCUCUCUUCCAAGAACAUCAAGAACCUCGAGAAAGGUUUAAGUAAGAGGAUCACCACAAUAUAAGGUGGAAAGUAAGCUGGGCAAUGGUUGCUUUGGUUUGGUGUUAGUUAGUCAUCGCGUUACAGGUGGAGUUGAUCGAACGAGUGGUCCUGAUGCUGUUGAGUUUCGUAUUUAUCAGUUAGCACAUAAACUCGAGCACAGAAAUAGUAAAGGCUGCAGCUAUGGUCAUCGAUAUGAUCUUAAACAGGGCUUGAGAAGUGUGUCAAACUUGAUCGGCUUGCACAUUAUCUAGAUUCUGAUAUUGCCUCACCCUCCAUGGCAUGUUAACAAGCAAUGCGAGGAUUUGCUUCCAUAAGAGUUUGUUCAGAAACUGGUGGAAGAAUCACACUGAAAUGUUUGGAGAUUUAAAUCUUCCCAGAACUUCUUGAUAAUACUGAGCAGUAAAUGUCGACUAAGCUACACAGGAAAGGCCCAAAGCCAACGUGGAUUCAGCUCUGGAUAGAGUACGUGUGGGUGAAGUCUCUCCUUUUGUUAGAUUGAAACCUGCUGUUUUUUUUUUAUAUAGGAAUUCUCUGCAAAUAAUUUAUAAUCAGUUCAUGGAGAAUGAUAAUACAUUGGUAAAAUGGAAAAUGAUGAUACAUUGAUUAAAGUUGAGUUAUUAGCUGUAUUGGGAGUAUGUCUCCUCCUCCAUUGUGGACACUUUUUGUAGUUAUUAACUUUGAAAUCUGGCCAAGUUACCAGUUUUUUGAACAUGUAAAACAAAUAAACAAUAUAUAAUAUACAAUUUAAA